UCCUCAGGAACCAUGUGCUCCGACGGC
rnacentral:sRNA from 1 species